UUGAGUAUUGCGAUAAAUUUAGGAGAAUAAAAAGGAAGGGCACAGGAAUAUUAACGUGUGGAGUACGGAGUUAUACAAGCCUGCAUUGGCACUUCCCAUGCUGCAUCUGGAUCAUCUUUGGAGGGGCAUAGAGGAGGCUGUACACCAGGUUCCCUCUCCAAGUAACAAUCAUUUGUAAGUGGUUUAACCCAAAUAACUGUUUGGCCCCUCUUAGCAGCAAUUUUCCAGCACAUUCUUUCAAGAAGACCACUCAUGUCUCUCCAUGUCCUAAGAUUCUCUUCGUCCUGAGCAUAAGCUACAGGUGAUGAAUAAGCAAAGUAUCCCCCCGGUCUGAGUAAUCUAUCUAACUCAAGAAGUAAGAGUCCAUCUCUUUGAAGCCAGUCGAUCCUGCAGCGAGAACAAUGUGCAAUAUCAAAAGAUCUACUGGGGUAUGGAAGACGUUUAGUCCCCAAUACACCUAGAUAAGCCGGAAUUCCUCUUUCAAGAGCGAACUGAAUCUGGUUUUGAUGGACGUCAUUGGGUGCUAAAGACAUUGUCAUGACAUCAGACGAAAGAAGAUAUCCUCCAAAACUUGCAACUCCACAUCCUACAUCAAGAACCGUACGGAGAUUGCCUUCAUUGUUCAAAUUAUUGUCUGUGAAGUUAAGCAUCUGCAAAGCAUAUAAAAUAAUAAAAUCAGAUGAAUCACAAAAAAGAAGAGUUUCUUGAAUUGUGUCAUCUACUCACAUUUGCAAGGGCUUUAAUGUAUCCAUCGGCUCCAUUAUGAAAAUGAGUUCCUCCCCCAGGAAAUUCAAUCUUGUCACCUUUGACAAUCAUCCAGUUUUGAUCUGAUUUUUCAUGCGCAAGAUGUGUGUGAGGUAUGUUUGCUUGCCACACUUCAUCACGGCUUCUUGGCCAUUUAAUUGGAACCUAUAAAUAAACCAAAUAUACACAUUGAGAAAACUACCUAGAAAUAAAGUAAAUCUAUGACACUAUAAUCAUACUUUAUAACCGGGUGGUGGAGGGAUCAAACAAUUGUAACGCCUUUCAGGUAAAGGGCAAUGCCUCUCAUAAUGCUCCAUCAAAGAUUGAUCCAACUUCAAUCUCAUUUGAUAUCUAAGAUGUCUAUCGAGACAUGGAAUCAACUCAGAAUGCUGGUCAUCACAAACCUUUGGAUAAACACAGAAUGUACUAUAUUUAGUUGAAGUAAAAAUGAAACCAAAAAUAGAUAAAGAAAAGUAAUAACCCACAGGAAAACUUUUGGGAACUAAAGUGUUAUCUUCUUGCAAACUGUAGAGAGAAGAAUCGUCUUGUUUCUCCCCGAGUUCAUCAUUCUCAUCAACAUUCCAUCUAAAAGAUCUUAAUGUUCUGGUACCAUAAUCCAAGGCAGAUCUAGCGGUGUAGUCUCCAGAGCUGAAGGAAGAUUUCCAAUAGCAAAGGAAACCGAUAACCAAAACUAUGGUGAUCAACGAAAGUAUAAGAUGGCGUCUUUUGCUAUUAUCUGUUUUCCCUCUCAUCAUAAUUGGUCGUGUCCGUCAACUCUGUUUAGUAGACUGGGAGAAGAUGAAUAUAAUUUGUUUGAAAAUAGUUCCAAAAAAGAGGGAAAAUACAAGCGACUUGUUGCAUAUCAGCAUAUGAAAGUUCUUUAUCAAACUAUGAAUAGAUAAAAAAACAAUUGUUCACUUGUUCUUGCAUAUGAAAUCAGUUCCAUAGAUUUAAGGAAUUGGAAAAUUCAUGAAACCUGUAUAUUAGUUAUUUCUCAAACCUCGAAUUAUAGAUCUAAAUAUAAGAAAAUGUAAGUUAAAAAAAAAGCAGUCGUAAUUCCCAAUGACAAAUUUCAGAUCCAUGACACAAAGUUGACAUCAUUCAUCAAAAAGAGUAAAAGAUCCAACAUAUUCAUAGAAGAAAAGGGCUGAAUUGAAAGCAACAUCCCAGAAUAAUACAUAAAAAUUAAACGAACAACGAAUUGUCUCCUAUUUCAAAAAGGAUCACAAAAUGAUAUUUUUAGCGAAAGCAAAAUACCCCAAAUUUCGAAACCUCAUUGCAAAAAAAAUGAACAAACCCCAUAAGAAGAAAACAGAUCGGAACUUGAAACAACCAGUCAACCGGACGUGAUUAUUUCACAGAACAUGCAUUAGAAAGUGGACUCACUUAGCUCGAAGGAGGAGGACUGAAGCUCGGAUCUGGAGAUCUGGAGGAGAUCUGGAGGAAGAACGAUAUAUAUAUAUAUAUAUAUAUAACAGUGUGCUCCAAAAGUCUGUCGGAGUGUCGGCGCCGACUUUUUUCUUUUUGAAAUCAGUCAUCAACUUCCAAAAGCUUGAGUGAAAUUAAUUGAAUUAAGUUGAUAAUAGUUGAUCGAAACAUUGGCGGGUACGGACACCAUAAAAGAUUAAGGGUGACAACAGUGACUUCAUUAAUGACCAUAAGAUAUGUUAUUCGGUCUGCUUCAAAAAAAAAAAUGUUAUUCGGUCAUUUCAUUAAUUAAGAUUGAAUGCUAAUAAAAAAUAAUAUAUCUAAGAACUUAUUUAAUUCAUGCUUAACAAAUAACUAAUUACUUAAUAUAAUAAAUAUCAUCGGUUACGUGCCUGUUCCGAUCGUCGACAACAGCUCUGCCGAUGAAAUGGCCAAGUGUUACAUGAAUGUCGUCAUAGCUCGGUAGCUUUAUCUCCAUAGUUCUCAUUCUCGGUAGCUAGCUUCAUCCUCGCUAUCGCCAUCGAGCAUUACAACAUCCAUCAAUGUACGGCUCUGAACAUAACCUAGAUCUUCUGCAACGAUCCACCCAACCCACUUCUACUGUUCGGAAUCUGCGGUACGAUAGUUUUUAUCAGUUUCUGGAUGCAGAACAUCGCGUCGGUCUUAUUGAUUUGGAUUUCCUUUGUCUAUGAUCUUGGUGCUUUGUAUUUACCGGAGGAGAAACCGAUAAGCACUGACCGGCUACAGGUGUGAUUGUUCUAUGGAUGAUCAGGAGCUUAACUGACAUCGUUCUUAUAUGGAUGACCAAGGACAGGAUUUAGAAUAUCAAAACAAUUGUUAGGGGUAAAACUGUAAAAGAUGUGUUAACUUCUUAUUAGGUUCUCUCUAUCAGUCGAGAUUUGGAUUUCCAAUUAUUUAAAUCAACCGCUCAUACGGGCCCAGUUAAAUAAUUAGUUAUAACUUAUAAGUUAUAGCAUAAAAAACUAUAAGAUAAAUAGAUAAUUAUAAAUUACAAUAUUAGGAAUAUUAUCAGAUUCGAAGUGAUAGAAAAAUUCAAAGAUGAUAAAAAAAUCUAUAAGAUAAUUAUAAAUUACAAUAAUUUUGUUGGUUUAUAACGAUUAAAAUAUGGGAAACAUUUGUAACAUGAUUUUAUAUAAAUACAAAAAAGCAACUAUGAAAAAAUUUUAGUCUAGAGAAUAGAAGCAACUAGCAAGGGAGAGUUUCAUAAAAACAUAAAAUCAAAAGGAAAAGGAAUAGGAAAAGAGAGAGAGACCAUCUAAAUCCUUACUAGUGCAGAUGAAGCAUAGCUAGUGCAGAUGAAGCUUUUAAGCCGAAUCUGUUAAAAUGUUGUUCGAAAUCCACAUCUUCUUCUGUAUUAUAAACACCACAUCAAUUUCUCCGGAUUCCGACUCACUUUCAGAUUCUACAAUUGCCUGCCACUGUAAUGCAGAUAGGAACUUCUUAAUAAAUUUGACAACAUGCUUCUUGUCCCGGACAAUCACAAAACCAGUAGGUCGUAGUAUACGGUCUAUCUCAAUAAGCAAGUCCUCCGCACCACAUCCUUUUCUCUCCAUAUCGGAAAAGAUGUUCCAGGCAUGUAGGAGAUCGUAGGUUCGUGGAUAAGUCGAAUAAGCUUCACACCUGUUAAGAUAUAAAUUUAGAAUAGAGCAUUAUAGACUUACAGUUGAAAAUAAAACCUCUACAAAAUAUUUUGAGCAUACCAAUCAUGAACAGAACCAAUGAGACCUCUGUCGUAGAUUAUCUUGAGGGUGUUUGGUCCUUCAUUUGGCACUACAUUCAUAACCCAGACAUCUUUAUCCUUGAGAGAGGCAGCAAAUGAACCCAAAUUUGACUUCAUAUCCAUUACAUUCCGUAUGGAAUUUGGCAUGAUCUUCGAACCUAACUUAUUCCAAUACUCAUCUACUCUAUUUUGCCAGAUUUCCUGCACCAUAGUAGAUUUCCAAAUAUCAAUUUCGUAUUAUAAUGAAUAUUAUUUUACAAUAUUACCUUAUCUUUUACAAAAAAAUCUUCAGAAUAACCAAAGUCUGAUAGUCUUGGAGGAAUCUCAGUUAGCCGAGCAGGCCAUGGAGCCAAUCCGCUACCCCCAGUUCUUUGGACCUCUACACGUGACAGAUACAAUGAGUUAUUGAGUAUUGCGAUAAAUUUAAAUUAACAUGGAAUUUAGGGGAAUAAAAAGGAAGGGCACACGUAUACUAACGUGCAGAGUACGGAGUUAUACAAGCCUGCAUUGACACUUCCCAUGCUGCAUCUGGAUCAUCUUCGGAGGGGCAUAGAGGAGGCUGUACACCAGGUUCCCUCUCAAAGUAACAAUCAUUUGUAAGUGGUUUAACCCAAAUAACUGUUUGGUUCCUUUUGGCUGCAAUUUUCCAGCACAUUCUUUCAACAAUACUACUCAUUUCUCUCCAUAUCCUAAGAUCCUCUUCGUCCUGAGCAUAUGCU
rnacentral:lncRNA from 1 species